rnacentral:lncRNA from 1 species
GCUCUGGCAAAGAAAGAAUUAUCUAAUUGAUUGAGAGGAUUAUAAUUCCAGGCUGCUUGCCUCGUGAGAGGGGAAUGCAAUGCUAAUUAGUUAAAUAAAAUAAAUGUUCUCCGUGGGAGUGUGAAGUCACCCCCAGCCAUCUCCAUAAUCCUUGUACCAGCUGGGGCUUCAGGGUCUGGUCCCAGGCCCAGCAUUUUACAUAGCUGUGGAAGCCAGCAUUCUUAAUUACACAGGCAGAGCAGACCACACCCAAGGUGCGUGCACAGCCUAGGUUCUUGAUAUGGUAGGAAAUGGUACAAACUUUUCUUUUUAGCCUUCAAGGCUCUGUGACCAUUCUGCAAUGCCUAGGGCUAUCUGUUACUCCCAACCCCGGGCAUUUGCAUUGGCCAGGCUCUCUGCCUAGAAAUGUAUUCCUAUCUAGCCCCAUCUCUCCCUUCACUGCUCAGCUGAGGGAGGUACCCUGGGCCCAGAUUUGUUGCUUCAUGUCAGUCUCCUUCAGACUGGAUGAGCCUGGUUCACUGUUGCAUUUCUGCAGCCCAACGCAGAGCCUGGCACAUAGUAGGUGUCUAGUUAAUAUUUACUGAUUACUAUAUUUCUCACGUACACUCAGACCAAUGUAUAUGUGAACCUGUCUGUAUGUGUGUGUGUUGCCAUGGUGUAACUGACUCGGUUCAUGCACUUGUGUGUCCAGAUGAUAGUGGAGGAACUCGUGUGGGGGCCUUGGGGACCCAGAGGGGACCUACCUCAUAUUCUCACAUCAUCCAAAGGCCAGAUUUACUGGGCUAACUCCCAAGCUUCAGCUAUUAGGACAUCUUUGGGCCUUUGGUAAACCACUGUGUGAAUUAUAGGUCCACAGCGCCAGGGACUGUGGAGUCGUGGCUUCAGUUAGUGGGGGACACUUCUGAACCUGUGGAGCCUCCAGAAGUCCAGACUCAGGGUCAGCUUUACUGAUAGUAGUUGGGGAUCCUGACGACACCAGGGUGCUGACACUUGGUAUGCCGGGAGCUGAGUUCUGUGUCUGGCUUUAUGCCCUCUGGAACCCUGUUUCUGAAAUAAGAUGGCAUAAGAAAACACUAGACACUGGGAUGAGCUUGGGCUGAGGAAACCAGCCUCUAGUACUUACCUGUGGCCUUCAGACCCCCAGGCUGCCAUCCUGCAGAGCUUAGGGUACCUGUGUUAGCAGCUGUGUUCAAGAUCUGGGAAGGGUGCUGUGAUCUCCUAAGGCUCUGGGCAUUAGAGUUUACACUGGUUACUUACUAGGCUUGCAGGCAGAGAUGGUGCUGACAUCCUGACUUAAGAAGUUCCGUCUGGGGCAGGAAACACUGCUCGGUGGGUAAAGGUGCUUGCCCCCAAGCUUUAUGGACCCGAGUUUGAUCCCUGGGACCCACACAGUAGAAGGAGAGAACCAACCUCGACAAGUUAUCCUCUGACCUCCACAUGAACGGCUCAAAACAAGCACAGACCCAUACAUUCACACAUUCACAAAAAUUAGUUAAAAGGAAAAUGUUCCCCCUUCCCUGGGCCUGUCAAGCGAUGACUGCUGUCAUAGUAGACAAGAGAUGAUUCCAGAAGGUCACAGUCACUUGCUCCCAGUCUCCAGGCCCAAAUGGAAAAUGGACAGUCAUGUAUCCAUUCACUAUUUGCAGGGGAUAAAGGGAAACAUGACAGCGGCUACCACCACAGGAGGAGAAUGUCUGAGAGCCUCUGGCUGGAGCUGACACAGGCCUGGGGGCUCCCUGGAGGGCAGGCCUGAGACCUCCAGGACUCUCAAUGCUGUGCCAGCUGUGGGUGAGCUUGCAGCCAGUCAAGGAAGAGUGAUGGAAUGGGGAGUCAGGGGGCCUUUGGGAAGACACUGGAGGAAGACUCAGCUAGCAGAGUCAGGGCCUGUCCUAGCUCCUGCAGGGUAGCUCCUGGAUAGAAGGAUAAUGUCACAUGUUCAGGGGCAGGGGCAGUCUAGGCUGGAUGUUCUUUGUCCAGCAAGGUGACCACAGUAGGACCAGCUGGAUGUUCUCAGACCCAUAGGGUUCCAACUUGGGCUUUGACCCUCCCCAGGGGCUGGUGAAGUGGCAGAGUGGAGUAGAGGCUGGCCCUGGCUAGACCCACCCACUCCUCCCUCCCUCCCCAGGUACUGCCAAGGUCUCCCCUUGGAGCAACACUGAGGCAAGGGUCACACCAUAGGCAUACAUGACCUGGCUUUUCCUCAUGGCCCAGCUGGGAGGACAGAGCCUGGGGUGUGUGGCUCUGGGCAGCAAGAGGUUGGCGGCCAGGGCCAGCCUGGCCAGGCUUUUUCGGCGUGAUUAGGUGCUUAAUCGCUGAGGCCUGUCGAUGCUGGGCUGUGAUUAUGAUUUACAGCCAGGCUGCCCUGCCGGUGUGUGAUUUGGCUUCUCUAGUCGCAAAGAUUCCUGAAUGAGGAAGCCCUGCAGUCUCUUCCAUUUUCCCAAAAGAGCGGCUGCCGCUAAGUCUUAGGACAGGGCGUCCCUAGGAGACAGAGUGCUAAUGCUGGCGAGUGAGGUGAGAGAGGUUUCCGCCCAAACGCCACGCCCCAAGCGUGGUGAAGCUUGCAGAUCAUGGGAGCCUUGGUUUUCUCCCUCCCGCACCUUGGGGAUGUUCCGGGACAACAUGCUACAGUGAAGUGCUCUGACUACUGAUGGCUGCUGUUUGGGUCUUUGCCUUUUUGCACACUGAGUGAGGGCCAAGUCAGGCUGCAGCCUCGCCUCCAUCUAGCUUCUGCCCUGGAUGGCCAGGGUACUCGCGUAUGCUGUCCUGUAGCCUCUGUCCCAACAGCCCAGGCGGAGGCGCCGCCCUUCUGAAGGCCACCAAUGUCCGUUGGUUCCUGGGAGGUGGUGGAGGGGGCUGGCACUCAGGGCAGAGGUCUCAGCAAAGGUCUCUGCCUGCGCCUGGAGGGCGGGGCGUGGGCCUCCCUCCCCAGGAGCGGCGGCUCCCAGCGCUACGUAUUAUUACUCCAUUAGCGCCUUGUAGGGUUGACAAAUGAAGGAUAAUUAAUAUCCGUGAGGGAAACAGAUGUUGAGGUAAUUCGCUCCCGCUGCGCAUUUGCGAUGGCUUCUCCUAACUCACUAGAGAGUGUGGCGGGACCGCGGGGGUCUUUCUGUGCCCUUGGUCAGGGUGAUGGAGUCGGCCAGAGUGAAUUCCAGCUGAGCCCCACACUAGGGAGGGAGCACCUAGUUCUUGGCUCUCCUUACCUGUGUUUCCUUUGGGAUGUUCUGUCUGCGUUCCACACCAGUGCUUCUUGCUCUAGCCAUAAGCUCAUGCGUUCCUGCUUCUCACCAGGAGGCUCUUAUGGGGCCUGUGCGGCCAACUCUGGAAUCCUCUGUGGGUCUGUCACAUUGUUUCCAGGCUGGAAGUCGGUUCCUAGCCUGGCUACAUACUGAUGCUGGCUCCUGACCAGGCCAAGACUUCUUUUUUGGAGUCACAAGUUUCCCCCUCAGUAAAUCCACCACCUUAUCUGUAUGCAUUGUAAGACAAAAGGGUAGCAUUAGGGAGCCACUCCAAUUGGAAAAAGGAGAUGGGGUGAGUCCUUCCACUCAAGAGACACUAGCUGCUGUUUGUGAGUUCUCUAUUGACCCUUGUGUGUGUCCCCGGCUGUGUGUCUCAGUGCAGGCUGGGAAAUAUGUCUACAGGCCAUACCUGCCUUCUCAGGAACCAUCAUUUUUACCCUGGGUUCUCUUACUUGGGAGGUGGGAACAGCAGGGAACCACUAGAGUGAUCUGUGGGACUUGGCAGGCACAGAUAAUGCCAUCUAGAGAGGGACAUAAGUAUCCAGAGAUGGGGCUGGUGGGGUUAGCAGCCCGCUACUGUGAUCUCAGGAAGGGUGAGUCUUGCCAGAUGAUGACUGGGCUUUCAGCUCUAAGAAGGGUCCUUACACUCCCAGCGUCCUUCCCAGUUAACAUUUUCUUUUGUUAUUUUUAGUUAUAGACAUGUAGAAAUUUAC